GCCGGGUGCUGUGGUGGGCACCUGUAGUCCCAGCUGCUGGGAGGCUGAGGCAAGAGAAUCGCUUGAGCCCAAAAGUUUGAGAUUGCUGUGAGCUGUGAGGCCACAGCACUCUUAAAGAGGGCUACAUAGUGAGACUCUGUCUCAA
rnacentral:SRP_RNA from 1 species